rnacentral:rRNA from 1 species
UACAGAGGGGGCAAGCGUUGUUCGGAAUUACUGGGCGUAAAGGGCGCGUAGGCGGCCUGCUAAGUCGAACGUGAAAUCCCUGGGCUCAACCCAGGAACUGCGUCCGAUACUGGUUGGCUUGAAUCCGGGAGAGGGAUGUGGAAUUCCAGGUGUAGCGGUGAAAUGCGUAGAUAUCCGGAAGAACACCGGAGGCGAAGGCGGCUUGCUGGACCUGGUCUGACGCUGAGGCGCGAAAGCGUGGGGAGCGAACAGG